AAGAAUGAAGAUUAAGAGAGCGUUAUGAAUAUAAUAGCCGGUACAUAUUUGGCAUUCAUUCAUUCAUAACUCACACACUCAAGAGCACUUGCAGUUUUUCUCAAAACUCACAAAAGAUUAGCUAACUUAUUUUCACAUCAAAUGUAAAUUGGGGGAUUGGGGAACACCCUCGCAUUCUUCUCUUUACAAGUCAUUGUUGAUCGGCAGUUCAAGCAAAAAACUAGUUCCAAAAUUUGGUGUCGUCCAUGAAAAUUAUAAGCAAGCCCUUGAGAAACCAAAACACCAAACCAGAAUAAUCAUGCUUACAUGUGAUAUCAAAUCUCCCUUAACCCAACCGGUCUGACUUGUCCCAAAACCUCCCCUCCCGCGAUCACCCCUUGUGAUUGGACUUCAGUGAGAGGGCAAAAGAAGGACUUGUGCCGAUCUUUAAAGGACAAUGAUUGAUGUUGCACAAGUGGAGAUAUAAGAUGGCAACAAAGUCCAAAGAGAACGAGAAGGAACGGGAGAAAGAGAAGCAAUCGUCCAACCUGGCCGAAUGAAAAUUGGCUCUUAACGUGAAGAAGUGAGAGGCCGAUGGACUAAGGCUGAAGACCCUCCAACUGCAAAGGGAGAAGAUAGAGGCGUUGGGAGGACCAUGACGAG
rnacentral:lncRNA from 1 species